ACUCUUCGGAGUGAGUGGCAGACGGGUGAGUAACGCGUGGGAACAUGCCCAUCAGUACGGAAUAGCUCCGGGAAACUGGAAUUAAUACCGUAUACGUCCUUCGGGAGAAAGAUUUAUCGCUGAUGGAUUGGCCCGCGUUAGAUUAGCUAGUUGGUGAGGUAAAAGCUCACCAAGGCGACGAUCUAUAGCUGGUCUGAGAGGAUGAUCAGCCACACUGGGACUGAGACACGGCCCAGACUCCUACGGGAGGCAGCAGUGGGGAAUCUUGGACAAUGGGGGAAACCCUGAUCCAGCCAUGCCGCGUGAAUGAUGAAGGCCUUAGGGUUGUAAAAUUCUUUCAGCAGGGAAGAUAAUGACGGUACCUGCAGAAGAAGCCCCGGCUAACUCCGUGCCAGCAGCCGCGGUAAUACGGAGGGGGCUAGCGUUGUUCGGAAUUACUGGGCGUAAAGCGCACGUAGGCGGCUAGGAAAGUCAGAGGUGAAAGCCCAGGGCUCAACCCUGGAAUUGCCUUUGAAACUAUCUAGCUAGAGUUCGGGAGAGGUGAGUGGAAUUCCGAGUGUAGAGGUGAAAUUCGUAGAUAUUCGGAGGAACACCAGAGGCGAAGGCGACUCACUGGACCGAUACUGACGCUGAGGUGCGAAAGCGUGGGGAGCAA
rnacentral:rRNA from 1 species